GUAAAGUUUGAUUCUUUCUUUAAUUUUUACAUAUUUAUUGAAAUUGCAUGAGGAUCAUAGUGUGUAUAUGUUUUCUCUUUUAAGAGGUUAGAGGAAAAUAAAAUUAGAAUAGAUUGUCUAUAAAGGUUUAAAAGCUCAGCACAUAUUAUUAAUUAAUUUAAGAAAUUAAGAAUUAGCACGUAAGGAUAGAUCUGAUCAAAUAUUGUGCCAGCAGUCGCGGUUAUACAUUAAGGUCAAGUAAAAACCAAACAUUAUUUAGUUAAAUUUAAAUGAACUUGUUGUAAAAUUACUUAAAAAUUUGGGGGUAAAAUUAAACAUUUUAGAAGUUAAUGAUCAAAGGGGAAUUGAAGCUAGAAAAAUUUAGGUUUAAACUAGGAUUAGAUACCCUACUAUACUAGAAAGGGAUUUCGGAAAGUUGAUUAAUAUUAGAUAUAUGCUUAAAAUUUGAAGAAUUUGGCGGUAUUUUAGUCUUGUUAGAGGAACCUGUUUUAUUAAAUCGAUAAACCACGUAAAAUCUUGCUUUUUUUUGUUAGGCAAUUUAUAUACCGUCAUUAGCAGACAAUUUUAUAAAAAUUAAUUGUUGGAAUUUAUAAAAUAUAAAUGAAAUUAGAUCAAGGUGUAGUCUAUAAAAAAGCUAAAAUGGGUUACAAUAAAAUUUGUUUAAAACGUAUUUAUAGAGCAAAGUCUAUAAUGAAGGAGGAUUUAAUUGUAACUAUAAAUUAACAUGUUAUGGUGAUAUAUAGCACUAAAUUAUGUACAUAUUGCCCGUCGCUUUCAUUUAAAGAUGAGAUAAGUCGUAACAUAGUAGGUUUAUUGGAAAUUGAACCUAGAUUGGU
rnacentral:ncRNA from 1 species